AUCCGGCUGACGAGUCCAAAAUGGGACGAAUUGCAUAUCCUGGAU
rnacentral:hammerhead_ribozyme from 1 species